AUACAAUGUCACAAAGACCUGGCUCGUGUUAGCGUCAGUGUCUGCACGUGAGCACGGAUGAUAUUUUAGUCUGACUUCUGAAUAAAAGGGCCUUAAAUGCACCACAGGAGACACGAGGCAAUGCGCGCAAAAAGGAGUGAUCUGAUUUAUCUCGCUGUUACUCUGCGCAUUCUCCCUUAUAAAAGGUUUGACAUUGGGAUCAGAUACUUCGUCUAUAAACACGACUGACUUUUCUCAGCCACAUGGAAAUGAGGUUAAAUUCAUUUGGACUUGACCAAUAAAUAAAGUUUUACCACAAAGA